AACGCGAAGAACCUUACCAGGUCUUGACAUCCUCUGACAAUCCUAGAGAUAGGAUGUUCCCCUUCGGGGGACAGAGUGACAGGUGGUGCAUGGUUGUCGUCAGCUCGUGUCGUGAGAUGUUGGGUUAAGUCCCGCAACGAGCGCAACCCUUGAUCUUAGUUGCCAGCAUUCAGUUGGGCACUACUAAGGUGACUGCCGGUGACAAACCGGAGGAAGGUGGGGAUGACGUCAAAUCAUCAUGCCCCUUAUGACCUGGGCUACACACGUGCUACAAUGGAUGGUACAAAGGGCUGCAAAACCGCGAGGUCGAGCCAAUCCCAUAAAACCAUUCUCAGUUCGGAUUGUAGGCUGCAACUCGCAAUACAUGAAGCUGGAAUCGCUAGUAAUCGUGGAUCAGCAUGCCACGGUGACAUACGUUCCCGGGUCUAGUACACACCG
rnacentral:rRNA from 1 species